CCUACGGGAGGCAGCAGUAGGGAAUCUUCCACAAUGGACGAAAGUCUGAUGGAGCAACGCCGCGUGAGUGAUGAAGGUUUUCGGAUCGUAAAACUCUGUUGUAAGGGAAGAACAAGUACGAGAGGGAAUGCUCGUACCUUGACGGUACCUUGCGAGAAAGCCACGGCUAACUACGUGCCAGCAGCCGCGGUAAUACGUAGGUGGCAAGCGUUGUCCGGAAUUAUUGGGCGUAAAGCGCGCGCAGGCGGCCUUUUAAGUCUGAUGUGAAAGCCCCCGGCUCAACCGGGGAGGGUCAUUGGAAACUGGAAGGCUUGAGUACAGAAGAGAAGAGUGGAAUUCCAUGUGUAGCGGUGAAAUGCGUAGAGAUGUGGAGGAACACCAGUGGCGAAGGCGACUCUUUGGUCUGUAACUGACGCUGAGGCGCGAAAGCGUGGGGAGCAAACAGGAUUAGAUACCCUGGUAGUCCACGCCGUAAACGAUGAGUGCUAGGUGUUGGGGGGUUUCCGCCCCGUCNGUGCUGAGACUACGACAUAAGUACACUCCGCCGUCGGGAGGUACGGCCGGCCGACGGACGNGAACGUACGAAAGGAAGUUAGUACGGCGUGAGACGUAGCCGACGGACGACGACGAGGGAGGAGG
rnacentral:rRNA from 1 species